rnacentral:rRNA from 1 species
AACGCUAGCUACAGGCUUAACACAUGCAAGUCGAACGGGGAACGGAUUCGUCCGUUCCCAGUGGCAAACGGGUGAGUAACGCGUAUCCAACCUGCCCACCACUUGGGGAUAACCUUGCGAAAGUAAGACUAAUACCCGAUGAUAUCUCUAUAAGACAUCUGAAAGGGAUUAAAGAUUUAUCGGUGAUGGAUGGGGAUGCGUCUGAUUAGCUUGUUGGCGGGGUAACGGCCCACCAAGGCGACGAUCAGUAGGGGUUCUGAGAGGAAGGUCCCCCACAUUGGAACUGAGACACGGUCCAAACUCCUACGGGAGGCAGCAGUGAGGAAUAUUGGUCAAUGGGCGAGAGCCUGAACCAGCCAAGUAGCGUGCAGGAUGACGGCCCUAUGGGUUGUAAACUGCUUUUAUAAGGGAAUAAAGUGAGUCUCGUGAGACUUUUUGCAUGUACCUUAUGAAUAAGGACCGGCUAAUUCCGUGCCAGCAGCCGCGGUAAUACGGAAGGUCCGGGCGUUAUCCGGAUUUAUUGGGUUUAAAGGGAGCGUAGGCCGGAGAUUAAGCGUGUUGUGAAAUGUAGGCGCUCAACGUCUGCACUGCAGCGCGAACUGGUUUCCUUGAGUACGCACAAAGUGGGCGGAAUUCGUGGUGUAGCGGUGAAAUGCUUAGAUAUCACGAAGAACUCCGAUUG